CCAUUGCGCCUGCCUACCAUGCAAGUCGAACGAACCUAAUCUUCGGAAAAGGUUAGUGGCGCACGGGUGAGUAACACGUAGGUGACCUGCCCUGGAGUGGGGGAUAACUUCUCGAAAGAGAAGCUAAUACCGCAUAUGCUCGGCCAUUCGGUUGGUCGAGUAAAGCUCCGGCGCUCCAGGAGGGGCCUGCGUCCGAUUAGCUAGUUGGUGGGGUAAUGGCCUACCAAGGCGAUGAUCGGUAGCUGGUCUGAGAGGACGAUCAGCCACACUGGCACUGACACACGGGCCAGACUCCUACGGGAGGCAGCAGUGAGGAAUAUUGGUCAAUGGGCGAAAGCCUGAACCAGCAACGCCGCGUGAGGGAUGAAGGCCUUCGGGUCGUAAACCUCUUUUCUGGGAGAAGAGACAAGGACGGUAUCCCAGGAAUAAGUCUCGGCUAACUACGUGCCAGCAGCCGCGGUAAAACGUAGGAGGCAAGCGUUAUCCGGAUUUACUGGGCGUAAAGCGCACGCAGGCGGCUGCGUAAGUCGGACGUGAAAGCUCCUGGCUCAACUGGGAGAGGUCGUUCGAAACUGCGCGGCUUGAGGUUGGAAGAGGAGAGCGGAAUUCCCGGUGUAGUGGUGGAAUGCGUAGAUAUCGGGAGGAACACCAGUGGCGAAAGCGGCUCUCUGGUCCACACCUGACGCUCAGGUGCGAAAGCGUGGGUAGCGAACGGGAUUAGAUACCCCGGUAGUCCACGCUGUAAACGAUGCGAACUAUGUGUUGGUAGUAUUAAACCUAUCAGUGCCGAAGCUAACGCGAUAAGUUCGCCGCCCUGGGG
rnacentral:rRNA from 1 species